GACGAACGCUGGCGGCGUGCCUAAUACAUGCAAGUCGAACGCAGUGGGGACGGGUGAGUAACACGUGGGUAACCUACCAUCAGAGGGGAUAACACUUGGAAACAGGUGCUAAACCGAUACUGAUGGAUGGACCCGGUGUGCAUGAGCUAGUUGGUGAGGUAACGGCGCACCAGGGCCACGAUGCAUAGCCGACCUGAGAGGGGUAUCGGCCACACUGGAACUUAGACACGGCCGAGACUCCUACGGGUGGCAGCAGUAGGGAAUAUUCGGCAAUGGACGAAAGUCUGACCGAGCCACGCCGCGUGAGUGAAGAAGGUUUUCGGAUCGUAAAACUCUGUUAUUAGAGAAGCGGUAUCUAACCAGAAAGCCACGGCUAACUACGUGCCAGCAGCCGCGGUAAGUC
rnacentral:rRNA from 1 species